UACAGAGGUCCCAAGCGUUGUUCGGAUUCAUUGGGCGUAAAGGGUGCGUAGGUGGCGCCAUAAGUCAGGUGUGAAAUUUCGGAGCUUAACUCCGAAACUGCAUUUGAUACUGUGGUGCUUGAGGACUGGAGAGGAGACUGGAAUUUACGGUGUAGCAGUGAAAUGCGUAGAUAUGCGGAGGAACACCGAUGGCGAAGGCAAUCCCCUGGGCCUGCACUGACGCUCAUGCACGAAAGCGUGGGGAGCAAACAGG
rnacentral:rRNA from 1 species